UACAGAGGGUGCGAGCGUUGUCCGGAAUCACUGGGCGUAAAGGGCGCGUAGGUGGCGACCCAAGUCCGUGGUGAAAGCUCGUCGCUUAACGACGAGUCGGCCACGGAGACUGGGUGGCUCGAGCACUGUAGGGGCAGAUGGAAUUCCGGGUGUAGCGGUGGAAUGCGUAGAGAUCCGGAAGAACACCAGUGGCGAAGGCGGUCUGCUGGGCAGUUGCUGACGCUGAGGCGCGACAGCGUGGGGAGCAAACAGG
rnacentral:rRNA from 1 species